GUGUGUGUGUGUGUGUGUGUGUGUGUGUGUGUGUAUGUAUAUAUAUAUACAUAUAUAUACACACACACACACACACACAUAUACACUG